rnacentral:rRNA from 1 species
UACGGGAGGCAGCAGUGGGGAAUAUUGCACAAUGGGCGAAAGCCUGAUGCAGCUAUGCCGCGUGUAUGAAGAAGGCCUUAGGGUUGUAAAGUACUUUCAUCGGGGAGGAAAAAACAAAACUAAUAAUUUUAUUUCUUGACGUUACCCGAAAAAGAAGCACCGGCUAACUCCGUGCCAGCAGCCGCGGUAAUACGGAGGGUGCUAGCGUUAAUCAGAAUUACUGGGCGUAAAGAGCACGUAGGUGGUUUUUUUAAGUCAGAUGUGAAAUCCCUGGGCUUAACCUAGGAACUGCAUUUUGAAGCUGAAAUACUAGAGUAUCGUAGAGGGAGGUAGAAUUCUAGGUGUAGCGGUGAAAUGCGUAGAUAUCUGGAGGAAUACCUGUGGCGAAAGCGGCCUCCUAAACGAAUACUGACACUGAGGGUGCGAAAGCGUGGGGAGACAAACAGGGAUUAGAUACC